AUGCAAUCUCGUAUUUCCUUAGGAAUGAAAUCUUCACCCUCUCUCUAGGUCUUCUUCAUUUCCCAUUCCUGAAGGACAGAAAGACAAGACGAGUCAGUUUGCUGAAUGUUCUAUGUGACUUGCAGGAUAAAAACAUUCUACGGCACCUAAUUAUAUAAAGAUCUCCACGGACCAGAUUAGAGAGCCAUGGGUCCUAGUCUCACUCUCUCUCUGUAGCCUUGGGUAAGUCAUUUCUCCACACUGGGGCUCAUCUUCAGGGGGGCCCAAAUAUCACAAAGUUUGUCUUUCUCAGACAAGGAAACAGGCCCAUAGAGAGGAGAAUGGGGACAACUUUUGACGCUAAUGCUGUUCCACCGGACCUUGGUGUGGAGGAGGAGGCUGAUGAGAGAGAAACCAAAGCAGUUUGAUUCUGGUUCCUGGCUCCACAGAAGAAGUCUUAACCUUUAAGCCAGAAGUUCUCAGUUAGGUUCAUGGAUUUUUAGGCAAUCUAAGGGUGAGCUCUGAGGGCGCAUAAGCUCUUGGCUGCUGCAAUUGUCUGUAACACUGCGAAUUGUGGGGUUUUGUUCCCUCCUUAUGAAAGGGCCCAUAGGUCCCAUCAGAUUCUCAUGGGGCUAUGUGACCUUGGAUAUAUUUUAUAAAGGACAAAGACCCUCUGUUCUCUCAAGCAUGUGUGUGCAAACCUCAGGCUGAAAUUAUGCCAAACUACAGCUACAGGGAGAAUUCAAAAGAAACGGCAGAAAGUGGGGUGCAGAGGAGCCCAGAGCAGCCUGAGUCUGCAGGGGUUAUGGCCCUGGAUUUUCGAAGAGGAUCCUGGGAACAUGUCUCUGUCCAUCAAUCCCAGAACCAGGGCCAGUGUCUCACACAGCUGGGAGUGUUCAGCACAUCCGUGAAUGAGUGAAUUAAUGUGAGGCUCAAAACGGUAUCUCCUAUUUCCUUGAUUCUAAGUCACACUCUGUUGUCACAUGUUAACAUUUCUAAAGUCAGACCAAAUUUUGCUACCUUAAGUGUGCGCAUUUUUGUGAUGCGUCUUCAUUCCCUUACCCCAAAUCAGUAAAUUGAUGGCACUUAAAUUGGCCCUUAAAUAGGCACUUAAAUUGAUGGCACUUUCAUUAGGAAGGAUGAUGAUGAUGAUGUUGAGGAAGAGGUGGAAGGAGGAUAAGGAGGAGGAAGAAUGGGAGGAGAAGCCCACUUGUCCUGGAUAACCAGGUGACCUCUGCCAUGGGAGGUGUCAAGGUCCAGCCCCACCCCCCACCUUGAAUGCCCAGGACGCACCCAUGUAGGUACCUGGGUUGUUCCGAAUGGCUUCCUUCAGCUCCCUCUUCUCCUGCCUCAGUGCCAUCAGCUCUGUCCGGAUUGUCUCCUUCUCUUUUUCCAGCCUCUCUUUUUCUACCAGGUACCUCCGGGCAUCUUCCUCAGCUCGGUUCUUACCGUACUUGUAUUGAUUGGCACCUGCACAGAUAGAAGACAGGAAAAGGCCCCCAUUCCUGACCUCUGCUCUUGUAGGGAUCGCAGUGGUCCCCCAGUGAUGCAUGCAAAAAUCAAUUCUUGUCACAAUGGCCCUGAUCACAAAUAAAGCAUGGAGGGCACAGAAGGGGACCCAUACUUCCCCCAACUUGCCAGAUACACAAUGGCAUCCCAGGGGAGUUUUCUCCCAGACUUUUGGAUUCGAUAGACUGGUAAAUAAAAAUAAAUGGGUAGACCAACAAAAUGGUGUCAGUGUUGUAUCAGAUAAGGACCUUAAAGUCCCCAACCACCAUCUGUUAUUCCCAAUAUUUUAUAAAAUAAAUAGUACCUCAACAUCUCUAGAGUUGGAAGGACACAAAUGCAGAGGAAAACAGUCAUUUACACUGAACAGAUUGAGCAACCUCACAAGAGACCCCAAGCCAGAACUGCCUAAUGAAGCUGUUCCAGGAUUCCUGACCCACGGAAACGGUGACGUGACUCAUGUUUACUUUUGGAGCUAGUAAAUUUUGGGUGAUUUAUCACCCGUAAUCGGUAGCUAAUACAUGACCUUGGGCAAGACCCUUCUCUUUAAUGUUCUUCAGCUGUUUCAUCUGAGACACAUGGUCGGACUAGAUCUGUAGUUUGAGGAGCCCUGUGAUUUCACAGUGACGGCUACCAGGCUGCUGCAGGGGCAAAGCGGGGGCCGGCGGGUGGCCCAGCUCCAACCAGAGCAGCUCCCCUUCUAUAUCCCUGAUAACCUGGACUUAACUAUAACAUUUGAUUUGAAGAACCUGUGUUUUGUUAUCUUUGUUGUUGUUUUUUAACGUUUUGUGAUUUCUUUAGUCUUACAUGCCUAUUUCAGUUUACUUUUCCAUUUUAUUUUCAUUUAUUUAAAAAUUUGUUUUUAAGUUUUAUGUAUUUAAGUAAUCUCUACACCCAACGUGGGGCUCAAACUCAUGACUCCGACAUCAAGAGUCACAUGCUCUGACUGAGGCAGCCAGGCGCCCCUACUUUUCCAUUUUAAAAUGGGCAGUCCAGGGGCGCCUGGUGGCUCAGUCGGUUAAGCGUCCGAUUUCAGCUCAGGUUAUGAUCUCGUGGUUCGUGAGUUUGAGCCCCGCAUCGGGCUCUGUGCUGACAGCUCAGAGCCUGGAGCCUGCUUUGGAUUCUGUGUCUCCCUCUCUCUGUGUCCUUCCCCCGCUCGCGCUCUGUCUCUCUCUCAAAAAUAAAUAAACAUUAAAAAAAAUUAAAAAGGACAUUCCAUAAAGGCCCAUAUUUCCAGUGCCAAUGAGAGUAGAGCGUCAGGAAUGUUACACAACAACCGUCUGAUUGUUCAGUGGGAAAACUCAGACCCAGAGAGGGGAAGGGACUUUUCCAAAGUUAUGCAGUAAUUAAAUGAUCAAGUGGGGAAUGGAAUAUAGCUCUUCUGACCCCCAGAAGAGAUUGUCUAUAUUCAUGAAAUGGAGAUCUAAUAAAGAAAAGUAUUUAAAAAAUUAAUCUUCAAAAAGCAAGGGAUAGAACUUGACUGUGAUCAGGUGCAGGGGGCAGAACUAUAAAGCAAUAAAUAAAAGACUCUUGGAACGUGCUGUCCUACAGGAAGCUGGCCUGCUCAUAAAUCACACAGGAGCAGAGAUCAGCGUUGGAAAUCAAACAGAAUUUACCAUAGCCUGCCAUACUUAGCCUUUAUUGUGCUGUGUGGCAAUCAGGCAAUUCAUGGAGCUCCUAUGGGGUGCCAGGCAGAGCCCGGGCUAGGACACAGAGGUGAGCCGUGCCUUCCAGGCAGCUGCCUGAAGGGUAUUUGGAGGAGUUCAUUUCUCCACUUGUUACCCCAGAUCAGAAAUUAUAAAUUGUUAGCUUUGGAACAGACAGAGCCUGAGGAUGAAUUUUACACGUGCAUAUAUGUGCAUACAUAUAUAAGAGACAAUGGAACAUAAAAACAUAUUUGGCCUUAUUUAAUGUUAACAUUUUUGAAAAUUAAUUGCUAGUGUUAAGAAAUAAGUGGAUUUCACAUAAUGGCUAGAUUUCUGGUCUCUUGAAUAAUCUGCAAACCUGGGAUGGCAUGGCUGUAUGGGAGCCACCGGCUGGGGCUGGGUAGUGGCCAGCCCUAUAGCUGGAGCCUGAGUUCUCCGGCUUCCUGCAGUCUUCCCCCACCCCAUUCCCUAGCGUUUCUCUUCUGAGGCCACUUGCUAGCUGCCCUUCAGCACUUGGCUUGUGCCGUCAUUUUUCUUACGGUAGGGUAUCUUCUUAUAUCUCACUUCACUCAUUAAUGUGCCUGCCUGACGUCCGGAGGAAUCCGAUUUGAGACCCCCUGCCCUGUGGAUUGUUUCCUUCCUUUCCUCCCUCCCACAUGGGACUCACUGGAGGCAUGGCGCUUGACUUUGACCUGCGGAUCCACGCGAUGGGACUUCUCACUGCAGGAGGAGGCAUGGCGUUUCACCUGGGCCCCAGUGGGACGCUUGGGCUCCUCGUCCUGGAUGGGAGGUGGAGAAAGGAGUUGAAGUACAGGUAGGCUCAGGGCCCUCAAUGCGGGGGUGUGUUCUGGUCCAAGUGUGGUGGGUGAGCGUUGCAGGACCUCUGAGAUCUAGGUCUUACAUUUUUAGACCGGGGCGGCACUCAACAGUUUAUAGACUACUUCUACUAGCAUGUAUCAUUUGAUCCUCAUCCCUUCCUGUCAGGGGCAGCAGAAGGCGCCCUUAAACUGGGAUAUCUGCUGAGAGGAAAUCAGGAAGUCUCAGAGGGCCGUAGGUGACCAUAUUUGAUUUAUCUUUUUUUUUUUUUAACGUUUAUUUAUUUUUGAGACAGAGAGAGACAGAGCAUGAACGGGGGAGGGUCAGAGAGAGGGAGACACAGAAUCUGAAACAGGCUCCAGGCUCUGAGCUGUCAGCACAGAGCCCGACACGGGGCUCGAACUCACAGACCGCGAGAUCAUGACCUGAGCUGAAGUCAG